GGACAGUGAUGUUCAGGACGGGGA
rnacentral:siRNA from 1 species